CACGUAGGGUGCAAGCGUUGUCCGGAAUCAUUGGGCGUAAAGAGCUCGUAGGCGGCUUAGUAAGUCGGGUGUGAAACCUCCAGGCUCAACCUGGAGACGCCACCCGAUACUGCUAUAGCUAGAGUCCAGUAGGGGAGUGCGGAAUUCCCGGUGUAGCGGUGAAAUGCGCAGAUAUCGGGAGGAACACCUGUGGCGAAGGCGGCUCUCUGGGACGGUACUGACGCUGAGACGCGAAAGCGUGGGGAGCGAACAGG
rnacentral:rRNA from 1 species